AAGCACCUAACACAAACCAGUAGCAAUGACUCAAUCCAGAAGAAAACACAAGACUCAGCCAAAUUGGCAGGAGUCCUUUGAAGUGGCAAGAAGCAGCUGGAAUGCCACAAGAAGCUCUAUAUGAAGCCACAACAAGCAGCGAUCAGUGAAGACCAGCAAAGUGUUGCAAGGCGAACCAAUGCAAGAGCGAGCGCCGUCCACUGUGUAUUGGGUUAGACUCAUGCAUAUCAUACAUCCUCUCAAGUGUCUGCCUCAGCAAAACAGCCUCUCACAAGACAGUUUCUAGAAAAGCAUCUCACGAUACAACUGAGUCUCUAAGGAAACCCGAAAUUUCUACUUCAGUGCUGUUCUAGAGAGACCCAGGUGCAAAAAUGCUGCAUGGAGUCUACUUGUGCUCUCCCUAGGGAGUGUCUGCCUUUGCCCUCUGCUUCUCUAAUCUAGCCACUUGUUCCUGCCUGCUGGAAAUAAGGGCCUCAUACUUUGGUGUCUCUGGAAGUCUGUUGUGGGCUUACUCUGUAGGAGAUCUGGACAGAGAAGAAGAGUCUGGUUGCUGGUUGAGCUUGAGGGCUCAGCCCAUCUUCAGUGCAGCUGUGCACGUCACAGGGCUCCAUUAUAAUCCACAUUAGAACACUGACACAGGCUGGACUGAAACAUGGAGUAUGCUCUCUGGUUCUGAGCCUCAUGUUCCAGCAGUUCCAAGUCUUGGGCCCAGACUUGGGGAAUUUCAGGCCUCUGGCUCCUACUUGUUUGGGAAUUUGAAUGGGUCAAGCACAUAAAGGGGAGGGGGUCCUCUAUGUCCUGGGAGCCAUUUACCUGUGAGAUUACUCAGUUUGGGUUCCUUUCCUCAAGACAUUGUGCCCUUGUGUUCCCACAGACCCCAUGAAUGCACUGCAGAGCCUUACUGGUGGACCCACCCCAGGAGCAGCUGGGAUUGGCAUGCCUCCUCGGGGCCCAGGACAGUCCCUGGGUGGGAUGGGUGGCCUUGGCGCUAUGGGACAACCACUGCCCCUCUCCGGGCAACCACCCCCUGGAACCUCUGGAAUGGCCCCUCAUGGCAUGGCUGUGGUGUCUACAGCAACUCCACAGAGUGAGUACUACACUCCUUGGCAGGUGACACUGCAUGCUAUUCUUGUGCUCUCCGUGUUAAUGGGAAAAGUGUCAAGGAGCCCAGAUAGCUCUGUUGUGGACAGCAGGUAUUGCAGGGGAAUGCUCUAAGCCUUCUCUAAAUUCAGAGGAGUAGUGCUUACCUGCCUGCUAGCUAAGGCAGUGAUGCUGAGGAGAAACUUGGUUAUUUGUAAACUUGUGGGUUUUUUCUUUGCUUAGGGUUGUUUUGGUUUUGGUUUUUAGAGACAGGGUUUCUCUGUAGCUCUGACUGUCCUGAAACCAUAGACCAGCCUGGUCUUGGACUCAGAGUUCUGCCUGCCUUUGCCAACGGAGUGCUGGAUCAAAGACUUGUGCCAUCACCACCAGCAAGGUGUGUUUUAUCAGUAAAAUAGGAACUAUUGUUAAGGUUUGUGGACACAAAUAAGUGAAGUAUUUGUACUCUAUGCCCCGGUGGUGUGCUUGAGGUUAUGGUACAUGCGACUCCUUUUAUCCCGUGGUCAGUCUGGGUUGUGCACUGCAGUCAUUCAUUCAUUCCUCUGUUGGGUUCCUCUGUCUUGAAGGAGGUGCUUCGCCCUCCUCACUUGUAGCCUAACUUUUGGCUACUUUGUUGAUUCUUUCUUCUUCUACCCUUUCCCACCCCUUUUUCAGCCCCUUAACACUAAGUAAGAGAGAAAGAAGGAUAGAGGUGAGAGAGAGGCAAAAGAAAUCCCAGAAUAAAGUCAGGAAUAGGAAAGGGGCCAACUUAGACUACUUCCUGCUGAUUGGAGGCAUUGAGUUCCUUGGGUUAAGUUUGAUUUUCAUCAUCAGGAUGUCUAAUUCCUUCUCGUUGUACAUAUGACUUGACAAACAGCAACCAACAGCAUCCAACCAGCAGCCAGCCACCUGUGGAGCUCUAGCAUGUAUUUAUCCUCUGAAAAGUUCCCUGGAUUCCAAACACCAUAUGCUUGAAAAAACUAUCUGCAGCUGCCAAAAUUAUACCUCUGCUAGAGCACAAGGCAACCCGUAAGUCAGCUGCUGUGGACAGUCUGAAGCGGCCCCAAUCCCACACCUGAGAUCAAAAUGAAAGCAUAUUCCCUAAGUCUGAAGUGGCCCCUCAUCCCACACCUGAGAUCAAAAUGAAAGCAUAUUCCCAUAUUUCUGUGUUUUUUUGAAAGAAACCAAAAUUCUCAUUACACUAUACCUCUCUGUAUUACCUGCCCUGAUUUCUACAUACUGUUGUCCUGGCUGGGACUUAGGUUAUAGUCAGCUACAUGGGUAUAACCUAUACCCAUGUAUAGGUUGUUUGUUUGUGGCAAGGUCUCACUAUAUAGUCUUGGGUGGCCUGGACCUUGCCAUGUAAAAUCAGGUUGGCCUUAAACUUGCUCAGUGCUGCUGCCUCUGCCUCCUGAGUGCUGGCUGUUUUACAGUAAGAGAUUGCUUUAGAAUGUUGGGCUUGGAGUGCUCAUGUGAUCUGUCUUGUAAUCCACUCCUACGAAUUUGUCUUAAAUAAAUGAUUUUCCAGAGAUUUGGCGGAGAGGCUAUGGUGUCCUGACAGUAUCCUCUCUCCAUCUGACCUUGGCCCACAUCCUGUUAGCAUCCAGGGCUGGCCUAUUGGGUGGCUCUGCUCCACUUCUACAUCCUAUAGGACUCUGUUGACAGCUACUUUCCCUUUCUGCCCUUGGCCCUUGCCUCCUAGAUUCACCUGAAGUACGUACCAGUGGCCUCCUGCUCUGUCUUUCUUAUGCCUUCUGCAAGCACUUUUAUGUAUUUAGCCAAGAUCAGGUCUUCAAGCAGUGUUACUAAAAGAUCAGAGCCUGGGUCAGAGAUUGUGCCAAAAAUAGAGGCUGCCGCUCAACUCAGUGUUAGAAAACCUCUAAAGUCAUCAGGGCCCUGGGUUCAGUCCCCAGCACUGUGAGCAGGGGAGGUAAAUUUGGAAAAUAAAUUAAAGUAUUGGUAAGAAGAACUUACUGCUAAGCCCAGUGAUCUGAGUUUAAUCCCCAAAGACCAGAUUUUAGAGAGAACUGUCUUCUAUAAAUUGUCCCCCCACCUUUACGCGUGUAAAGCCACUGUAUGCAUGUGUCCACCAUUAAAUAAAUAUAAAAAAAUUUUAAAGUAUAUUAAUAAUUAUAUGUAAUAAGUUGAAAAUUAUUCAUAAACAAUAGAAAUAAUUUAUAAAUUUCAAAGCAAUAGG
rnacentral:lncRNA from 1 species